UACAGAGGUCUCAAGCGUUGUUCGGAUUCAUUGGGCGUAAAGGGUGCGUAGGCGGCGCGGUAAGUCGGAUGUGAAAUCUCGGAGCUUAACUUCGAAACUGCAUUCGAUACUGCCGUGCUUGAGGACUGGAGAGGAGACUGGAAUUUACGGUGUAGCGGUGAAAUGCGUAGAUAUCGUAAGGAAGACCAGUGGCGAAGGCGGGUCUCUGGACAGUUCCUGACGCUGAGGCACGAAGGUCAGGGGGAGCAAAACAGG
rnacentral:rRNA from 1 species